AGAACUGCCCAUGAGCUCGGGACGUUAACCCUCCGGCCCCCGGAAGGGAGGGAGGGGCCCUGCCCCUCGGCUCUGGCUGCUCGCGGACGGGACUCCAGGGAGCACCCACUUUCUUCUCACACGCUCAUUCAACAGCAAACCCCUUAGAGUGGCCCAGGAAGAGGGGGACAAAGCUUCACGGCACAGAAUCUACAGCCGUGCUCCUCAGAGGGGCGUGCGACAGCGGGAAGCCCGGAACACAAGGCGUCCCCACGAACUCCCAGAUGCCUGCAUGGAGGUGGGUGCCACGCUACAUGAGCUGUCACUGCUGCCUCCCAGGGACUGCAGUAGCAGGAUCCAAAGCUCUCCUCUGUGGCCUGAGAAAGCAGAAGAAGAUGGCCCAAGUCCUAGAGCCCCUGCACCUGUAUGGGAGACCUGGAAAAAGCUCCUGGCUCCAGAUUGGCCCAGCUCUGGCCGUUGCAGCCAUUUGGGGAGUGAAUGAAUGGAAGAUUCUCUGUUUCUCUCUCUGCCUCUCCUUUUCUGUGUAACUCUGCCUUUCAAAUAAAUAAAUCUUAAAAAAAAAAAAAAAAGACAUAAAACCAGUAAAAAACAAAACAAAACAAAAAACCAGUCAAGUCUGUAUGUAUUCCAAUCUCCGGCCUCUCAUUGCUGAACGUUUAAGCGCUGUCUUCCUUUGAAUGGAGUCCUGGCAGCUCUCUCUAGACAGUCCCGUCAGAACACGAGAAGUGUGACCUGGGCCUUCUGGAAAUCUCUGCUGGAGCCAUGACUGCUGCCCUUCCUCAGCCCACAGUCCGUGCCCUUCCUCCUGUGACUGCCCGGCAGGUGGGUACCCUGUGCAGGAAGGCUUGGGUGCUAGACGUGAAGGGCAGCAGACAGCUCAGCUGCCAGUUCUCACACCUCCCCAGGCAUCAGGGCUGGCUGGAGGAGCUUUGAGAACAGACUCAUGGCCCAUCCCCAUUUUGCCUU